rnacentral:rRNA from 1 species
CAGUCGCCGCGGGAAUACGGAGGGGGCUAGCGUUGUUCGGAAUUACUGGGCGUAAAGCGCACGUAGGCGGCUUGGUAAGUUAGAGGUGAAAGCCUGGAGCUCAACUCCAGAAUUGCCUUUAAGACUGCCGAGCUAGCAGGUGAGAGAGGUAAGUGGAGUUCCGAGUGUAGAGGUGAAAUUCGUAGAUAUUCGGAAGAACACCAGUGGCGAAGGCGGCUUACUGGCUCAUACUGGACGCUGAGGUGCGAAAGCGUGGGGAGCAAACAGGAUUAGAGACCCCUGUAGUCCCUGUCUCUUAUAC